AUAAUCCUUAGCAUUUCCUCUCACCUGGGGAGCAGUCUGUUUGUCUUUCUACAGCCUUAGGGAAGGGAUAAGAGGGUCAAAAGCACCACCUUUGACCCUAAACCAUGUAUUUUGUCAUCUAGAAGUAUAUUUUGCCUGACUUAUUUCAUGGCUGUUUUCUGCUUGAAUUGCAUCUGCAGUUUUAUAUACAUCUAUAAUGGACACAACACACUCCAACUGUUCCUGUUUAUUGCCUUGGCUGGAAAAUAUCACUUUCUCUUGUCGAUGGAUCCUUCAGGUGGAAGCCCAUCAAAUCUUUUGAUCAAAUCUGAAUCAAGUGACAGGUACCCAUAUUUUUGUUUCUGACUAUGAUAUACGGUAUAUAACUUAGAUAUGAUAUAGUUAGUGAGCUGGAUAUCUCACAGGCAUGAUAUAAUGAGAUAGCUAUAUGUAAGUUUAUUAAUUCCUAGUUCUUCUUGUAGUGUUGUGUGUAUACUUUGUUGUCUGUGUUGUAACUCUUAUCUCAAAAUAAAAUAAAAUUCCAUCUCAAGCUGUUUUUAGGGGGGUAAACAAAGCUCACAUUUACAUGCAAAAUAAAUAAAUAAAUGAAGGAGAAGGGAAGAAAAAAGAGAGAGGUUAAACUGGAAAGAAAUCCGUACCUCACAGAACAUAGGCAACUUUUUGGCAAAAUCCACCACUCUUGUGA